UACGAAGGGGGCUAGCGUUGCUCGGAAUCACUGGGCGUAAAGCGCACGUAGGCGGAUCGUUAAGUCAGGGGUGAAAUCCUGGAGCUCAACUCCAGAACUGCCUUUGAUACUGGCGAUCUUGAGUCCGGAAGAGGUGAGUGGAACUCCUAGUGUAGAGGUGGAAUUCGUAGAUAUUAGGAAGAACACCAGUGGCGAAGGCGGCUCACUGGUCCGGUACUGACGCUGAGGUGCGAAAGCGUGGGGAGCAAACAGG
rnacentral:rRNA from 1 species